CGUUUUAAUCGCGUUAGAAGAGUUUCCGAGGCGGGUAUUGGCGAGUUUUGGCCAAUUUCGGGAAAGGUUAAGGAGGUAUCAAGGCAAGCCGGAUUUCAAUUAAUCCCGAAAAAGGCGCGCGCUUUGGGGAUCCGCCAGCUUAGGAUUCCACUCAGCAAAUUUGAAAGAAGC